GACGAACCGUGCGAACGUUAUUCGGAAUCACUGGGCUUAAAGCGCGUGUAGGCGGGCCGCCGCGUCGGCUGCUGAAAUCCCCCGGCUCAACCGGGGAACGGGCACCGAUACGGGCGGCCUCGAGGGGGGUAGGGGGGUCUGGAACUUCCGGUGGAGCGGUGAAAUGCGUUGAGAUCGGAAGGAACGCCCGUGGCGAAAGCGAGGCCCUGGACCCUUUCUGACGCUGAGACGCGAAAGCCAGGGGAGCGAACGGG
rnacentral:rRNA from 2 species